GUCAACAAUGGCGGACUGUUUGUGGAGGACGUUCGGCUGACAAGAAGAUCUUUUUAAGGUUCUAAGGUUUGGUUCCAACAUAUGGCCUGGCUGGCAAACACACUUGUGACUUCCUUUAGUGUUCUCACAUAAAUGACUACAUUUACCAUACUCCAAGCACUCGUUGAUGUCUGUGAAGAAAGGAAGAAAGAGAGACCAUUGGUUGCUGUGAAAGACAAACUCCAGGCUGCGGUGAACACCUUUUGUGCUGCCCAUUCAUUGAAGUUAAGCAAUGAGUCAUAAAUCCUCCAUUUAACAAAAAAUAACCUUUCCAUGUUCCGUUCAAUCAAUAAAUAAAUAAAUAAAUAACGCAGGAAUUGACGUAAGUGCGUGUACUACUAUCCAAGCUAUAAAAUAAAGUGGUUCUUGACA